rnacentral:lncRNA from 1 species
GUAGAUAGUAAAGGUUUCUAUUGGAGAUAUUUUUGGGCCUCUGAAGUUGAUGGAACUACGAGCAAUUUUCCUCUCUAUUUAAAGAAUAAGACCGGAGUUUUUCAGGGUGAGAAGCUUGGUUCUUCAAUUUCAUUGUUGAGUAGUUCGACAGGUUUGACCUGACAGUUUUUGUAGCUCGGUAGGAAGCAUGUGGGUUUGGUUUGCGCGACUAGGCCUUUUCGGAUGGUAGGACAUUUACUCGUCCCUCUGGGCAAUCUUGGCCUGAAGCUCAUGGCAGGACUCGUACCACAUUCGUCCCAAGCUUCCGUGCUUGAACCUUGUCUGCUACAUGCGUGACAUUCCCAAAGGUCUCCUGUAAAUGCUUGUGAUAAGGUUUCGGGAAGUAUAACACUCCUCUGAUGCGUGUUUUGGGGUUCCAUAGCAAAAGAUGAUCCGUAGGUUCGUGCGGGAUGUUUAUGAGAGACGAAGGUUUCGAUGUUUGGGGGGGUUAGGUGAAAGGUCCUUUUGUAGACGUUAAAUCGGGAAGAUGAGGGCUAUAUAUAUGAAGAUUGGAUGAUGACCACAACAUCUUUUUAGAUAACAUGAGUUAGGCUGUGUUUGCAAGGAGAGAUCACUAGAGUGAUAGAGUAUCUUGUGUUUCUUUUUAGGGUGAUAAACUUUGUUUGAUGUUAUCAUUAUUGUAGACGAUUCAUACCAUAGUGUCUAGCACUGGUAGUGGGCGCGUUUCGAUAGCCAGUAUUGAUACUUGAUAUCAUGAUCCCUGACAGGUUUCCCUACGAUCGGGCGGUAUAUGAAUGUCGUAUGUAAGUUGACGUUGGGGAAUCGUCGAGUGGGUGGCCCUACUUAAUUCUUACUACUAGACAUGGAAUAGGGGUCAGGGUGGAAUUAUUUGUUUCAUGACUUCAGCAAUCUGAUUAUAAUUAACCCCGAUGUAUGCACAAAGUCAUCACAUCUUACAGGUAAUGAUCUNUCUGAUUAUAAUUAACCCUGAUGUAUGCACAAAGUCAUCACAUCUUACAGGUAAUGAUCUUAAGAUCAUAUAUGAAUGUAUUUAGUUUUAUUUAAACGAGAGAGUAUUUUAACUACUUUUAGAAAGACGGUGACUUUAGCAAGCAUAACAAUUUCAUUACAAGCAUAUGGUACUUAAACGUUUUUGUCGUUGGAAACAUUACAAAAGUCCUAAUAUGGUUUGCUACUGUUCCUACCGGUUUGUUUGUUACAUUCCUCCGGCUCCUCCGUCAUUCUUCUCGGUUCGAC